AGGUUAGACUAACCUGCAAGGAUUGAAUCAAUUCAGGCUCAGCCUUUUUGAAUGUCUGUCCCUAGCCUUAAAGUCUAAGGACCAGUCAACUGAAGAAAAGUUUACCAGUUACAGCAAUCCAAGGCCUAGCCCAUAACUCCCCUGCCUCUGGCAACAGACAGCUGCCCUAUCCCCACACUUCUGGCAGGUCUGGUCUCCCACCUUACACUUCUCUGGUUUGUACCUGUUCUAGUGCAAGAAAGCCACCAGCUGCUGAAAGGACCAUUCCAGCCAGCAGAAGGUAUGUGAAUGCCUAUAGAAGAAGACUUAUUUCACUCAGCAGAGAUGUAGCGCUGCUGACCAAAAGAAGCUGAGAAUGUUGAUAUAGUCAAAGGUUUAUCACCAGAACUCAAAUUUUGCCAGCACAGCUUUAUACUCUAGACUAAGUCUAAUUAUGCUGUGAGAAGUAAACUGAUAAUUAUAGCAGUACAUAUCCCCUCUAUGAGCACUCUCAUUCCAGCAUAAGAGAAGGGUUUUUUUUAUUUCAGCUCAACGCCUUCCCAAGUCACUUAACAGAAAAAAUGGUAUUUUGAAUCAGUGUCCUUAUAGGGGGUCAUAGCAGAGAAAUUAUUCAUUGAAAGUCAUGCAUCAGGUAAAUGACAGUUUAAUCUCCCUUCCCCCAGGCCCUCAUCUUGCUACAGAGCUGUCUAUGAGCACAGGGGUUUCCCUACAAAGAUCAUUUAUAGGAUCAAGUUCCUGUUGUUAUGAAGGAACUUGGUUUCACAGUGGCUUGUACCAUCUAUCUGAAAAAAAACAGAGCUGAAUUAAAUGAACAAUGUGAAUUUUUCAACUCUUUCCAUUCAGAGAUCUCAAAUGCUCCUUUCAGUUGGCCUAAGUUAUUUUACUAAACAAUGGCAACAUGUCAUUCUUAGCAUAUACGCUAUUCAGCAACCAUUCUCUGCAAGUGAAUACAGAUCUCAUAAUUGUUCUCUGACUAGGUUGAUAACUGUCAGAUGGUUCGUUCAUGCAGGGUUACGUAGUAGUGUACUGAAGGGCAAGAAUAGAAGCUGUUAGCUCUGACAAUGCCAAUCAUAAAUGGAUCAGUAAUCUUAAUUGCAACCAACCAACCAACUCUGGCAAAGAAAAGCUGACCAUUAGUCUCAAUACAAAUGUCUGUAACCCACUGCUCCCAAGCAAGGUUAAAAUGCCACAUCUAGAAUUAAAUUCUAGGCUAAUCUUCCAUGAGACCUUCUCUAAUAUUUAAUCUGCAAUUAAAGACACCAGGACUACAGAGGCUAAGGUAUCAGAUGCUGGGCAGAGCAGCAGCGAAGAUUAAUAUACUGGCAAACUCCAAGGAGAACAAAUGACAGUGGGAAACUGGGAAAGGGCUGAGAGAGGGAUUGAUAUUAGCAGAUGAAGCAGAGUAUCAUUUGUACAACUGUUGAAUGGUAACAACUUCCAUUUCAAGCAAGCCAAUUCCUUUGCUUUUGUUUCAAGCUAGGUCUCUGGUUGCAGUUCAGGCUGGAUUCACCCCUGCAAAUUUCAUUUUACACCACUGAUGUAAAAUGAAGACUUAGGUGCAUCUCUUGCAACAAAAAAACCAGCAUGGGCAUGACUGGUCUGUGUGUGUGCAGGGGCUGCCUUUCUGAAAAAAAAUACAAUGGGAUGUUAAAGCAUGAAUGGAAUGACACGCGUCUACAAGGGAUUCUGUUCAUUUACCAGAAAUAAAAAGACUUGCACAGGAGCAAUACCAGGAGGCUGGAGAACGU